GGUGGCUCAGUGGUAAAGCACUUGCCUUGCAAGCAUGAGGCCCUGGGUUCAAUUCCUCAGCACCA
rnacentral:tRNA from 1 species